rnacentral:rRNA from 1 species
AUUGAACGCUGGCGGCAGGCCUAACACAUGCAAGUCGAGCGGAUGAAGGGAGCUUGCUCCUGGAUUCAGCGGCGGACGGGUGAGUAAUGCCUAGGAAUCUGCCUGGUAGUGGGGGAUAACGUCCGGAAACGGGCGCUAAUACCGCAUACGUCCUGAGGGAGAAAGUGGGGGAUCUUCGGACCUCACGCUAUCAGAUGAGCCUAGGUCGGAUUAGCUAGUUGGUGGGGUAAAGGCCUACCAAGGCGACGGUCCGUAACUGGUCUGAGAGGAUGAUCAGUCACACUGGAACUGAGACACGGUCCAGACUCCUACGGGAGGCAGCAGUGGGGAAUAGUGGACAAUGGGCGAAAGCCUGAUCCAGCCAUGCCGCGUGUGUGAAGAAGGUCUUCGGAUUGUAAAGCACUUUAAGUCGGGAGGAAGGGCAGUAAGUUAAUACCUUGCUGUUUUGACGUUACCAACAGAAUAAGCACCGGCUAACUUCGUG